rnacentral:rRNA from 1 species
UACGUAGGGGGCAAGCGUUGUCCGGAAUCAUUGGGCGUAAAGCGCGCGUAGGCGGCCCGGUAAGUCCGCUGUAAAAGUCCAGGGCUCAACCGUGGAAAGCCGGUGGAUACUGGCGGGCUAGAGUCCGGAAGAGGCGAGUGGAAUUCCUGGUGUAGCGGUGGAAUGCGCAGAUAUCAGGAGGAACACCGAUGGCGAAGGCAGCUCGCUGGGACGGUACUGACGCUGAGGCGCGAAAGCGUGGGGAGCGAACAGG